ACGCUCGACACCUACGGUAGGCAGCAGUGAGGAAUAUUGGUCAAUGGGCGCUAGCCUGAACCAGCCAAGUAGCGUGAAGGAUGAAGGCUCUAUGGGUCGUAAACUUCUUUUAUAUAAGAAUAAAGUGCAGUAUGUAUACUGUUUUGUAUGUAUUAUAUGAAUAAGGAUCGGCUAACUCCGUGCCAGCAGCCACGGUAAUCUGAGCGGGCUGGCAAGGC
rnacentral:rRNA from 1 species